rnacentral:rRNA from 1 species
UACAGAGGGGGCAAGCGUUAUUCGGAAUUAUUGGGCGUAAAGGGCGCGUAGGCGGCUUGGCAAGUGGAUGGUGAAAUCCCUCGGCUUAACCGAGGAACUGCCGUCCAAACUGCUUCGCUUGAGACCGGGAGAGGUGAGUGGAAUUCCCAGUGUAGCGGUGAAAUGCGUAGAUAUUGGGAGGAACACCAGUGGCGAAGGCGGCUCACUGGCCCGUAACUGACGCUGAGGUGCGAAAGCGUGGGGAGCAAACAGG